CCCGCCCUCCGGCGGGUUUAAUCAUCACCUUUUUGGAAAAACAAGUCGGAGAAACUGCAGAAGCUCCUCCCCCCUUUGAUCCUCGGUCACCAGGAAGAGACUCAUCUGAGAAAAACCACAAACUUUCCAUGAUGCUCUCUCUCUCUCUGAACCAGGAAGCCGUCCCGGCGCUGUAACCGCUGGACUGUUGCUCCGUGCGCUGUGGCUUUGGCCUUGACUCUAUGCACGCUGAAUGCCUCGGGGAGCCUUUUUUUACACGCCGUGAAAUAUAUAUUUUUUCCUAUUCUUGAAACAGCUUAUCUCUCCUACAUUUACUUAAUACAUUCUGAAGUCUUCCGAGCAAAUCUGCUCUGGAUUUUCUUUCAUAAUUCUUUCUCCCGCUCACAGCUCCCCCAGAACAUCUUGAGCUGUUCGCGCUCCGUGCUCGGCCAGACGAAAAUGUGCCGCGGAGGGAUUAAACUUGUCCGUAGCUGUACACAUUGAUGUGCAAAUGACUCAGUUCCCCUUUCCGCUCAUACAUGGAGCUCCCCACGCCGGGUUGCUCAAUGAAGACUGCUACACUUGGUGGUCUAACAAUAAACCCCCGUAUAGCGUGAAUAUGCUUCUUCUGUGUCUCCGCGUGUAUUUAUGGCAAUGACAUUUGAGGGGCGCCGAGACCAGUCAGGUCCAGUCGAGUCCAGUUUGGAAAGCUGAUUCCCCAACGUUCCCUUCGUGUAACACUGACGUGAACCGCUCCAGUAUGUUGAUUUCAAACUGUUUCAACCGUCAAAAUAAAAGCCACAGAGUACGACCGCGAUCCUACCGGCGGUUGCUGUGCUCUCAAACCACGACCCAAUCUUGUGGACUCUGAGUGUAAGAUACACCACAGCUGCAUGGAACUUAUUUGCCGAUGUCCUGCGUUGCCUUUGAAGGAUGAACAGCUAGUGCCAUUGCAUAAUAAUAAAGGCCUUAUUUCCCCGGCAACACCAAAACCGGAGCUAGUUACUGAAGUAAUGAGUAAUAACCACUGCGGUGAUCCGCUGACUUUUCACACGGAGGCGUCAUCUGGUCUAAAUGGUAAUUACAUGGUAAAUACAUGGUUUAUAACCACAUUCCAUCAGGUUUGGCUGUAACAGAAGGAACCCCAUCUGAAGGUCUAUGUCAUUUCUGUAAAAGUGGCAUUUGUGUGUGGAUGAGAGCGAGCGCACACGCACGCCAGCUGCCUUGUUUGCUGGUGUCGUGUUGGGACUUACUGACUUUUCAUAGUGGAAUGAGAAAGUUUCAAUGUGAGUCUUUAGCACACACACUCGCUCACACACACACACACACACACACACACACACACACACACACAGCACAUCAGCAGCAGCAUCAGCGCAAACAGGCCGUCAAGUCUCUGCAGCACAUUUCUGACAGAUAUAAAUAUGUAACAUGUCAAUGAAUAUUACAUACGUGUUCUUCUGGCGUCAUCUGGGACAGAGUCUUUACACAUAAUACAUGUAAUGGCUGUGUGAGGAUUUAACACUGAAGCUCCCUGGUUGUUGCAGCUACACAUUUUAUAUAACGUCCUAAUUGGAUUCCUUCCGUUGCUGAAGGGAUCUUUGUGACUGUGAUUCCAAAUCCAGGGAGGAAAGAUGGUGUAUUUAAGUAUGUUGUGGCAAAAUAGUGUCAUUGUCGUACAUUAAGAAGGUAUCACUUAUCCUGCAACGCUAAAUGAAUUAUAUGCACUUUGACCUUAUAUAUAUAUUCACCCACUGCAGGUCCCCAUUAUGAACAAAUUCAAAGGCUAAUGUCUAUCUGUUAAAUGAAAUUACAAAAGGAUUUCAAUACGGCUAUACAGUCUGCAUUACUGUCAUAUGAUCCACAGAUGGGCUUAUUGAGUACAGAUGCAUUUUAUGGACAAAUGAAAGAAAUGAAAUACAUCAUUAGUGAGUUUAAGAUGUGCUGGUAGUAGUGUGUUACCUUCCUUCCCGUCUUUAAACUAAGCUAAUUGGCUUCGGCGUAUUUAUGGUAGCCGUGCUCGGGUUUAGCUUUUCAUGUUACCCACAUUAGUAAUAACUUACUUGGAGGCCGCUGGGCCGACCCGUCACUACCAGACGGAGGUUAAGGCCACGUUGACUUUUCACCGUGUACUCGAGAAGCCUGUGUGUCUGCCAGAUAAACGCAUCACUCACAGUUUGAGUUCAAAGACCCGCAGGACGUUCGUGAUCACCGCAUCCACUCAGGUAGAUGGAACGGAGCACAAGCAGACACACAAGCUCCACCAUCGGCGUCUGAACCUGAAGUUAACGUUGCUCUUCCAGCUAAAACGUGAGCGAGACGGAGGGAGAGACGCCCACGCAGGGAGAACGAAAUCGGUGACGGUGGCUCGACAUGACUCACCCUUUUUAAACAGCCUCAAACGGCCCGGGGAUCACAUUCGGUGUUCGGCCACACGCAAGCUGCCAAUUCGGUGCCAGCUGCUAUUCGUGACAUAAGCUGUAGUUACACAGUUACGAGUUGAACGCCCCCGGGGUGACCCACGGGGUCGGGGCUUGUGGGAUUUUCCGUGAUGUAUCCGCGCCGCCGUCCGCUUGGUGAGAAAAGGGCUCUGCCUUUCUAAGUGGUAUCACAACGCGUGCGCAUGCAGGGCACUUGGGUGUUACCCAUGACAACGGUGAACGGGGUAAAUGUUCCGUCUAAAAAUGGACUAUAAUAGGAUUUUGAACCUUUUAAAUUGGACCAUGCAGAUCACAAUUUAUUCACUACUUGGACUAUGAUUGAGAUUUAUGUGAUUAUUGGAUCAUUGGGUAAAAGUGAACGAUUCCCAUGCACUGAUAGUUUUGUUCUGUCUCCAUAUUAAUCCCAAGAAGCCUUAAUGUGCACUUUAACACCACGGCAGGGAAAAGUGUACCUUUCAUUGCCCCAAAUUUGGGACAGUUUACAACAAAAGCCGUAUAGGGCGCAACCUUUUUCCACCUGCGGCGAGCUGUUUAAGCCGGCAGCUGCCUCUCGCGGCAUCAUCCGAGUGCUCUUUUGAAUAAUGGCGUGUGUUUUUACCUCCAUUUGCCAACCAGCUGCGCCGCGACACGACUCGGGCUGAGGAGGCCUGCGCCCGGGCAUGUACAGAACCAGGCAAACCCGUGUGUGCAGUAAGCAGUGAGCUCAAAUUUCACUUUCAUCGUUUGGGUGUCCUGCUCACACUGUGAUGUCUUGGCAUCCAAACUCGGAUAUUUUAGAGGGUCCUGGGACACGGAGAAGCCAUGCAGGUUACGCUCACAGACGUUAGCUUGCGCGUGCGUGUGGAAGUGUCACCGGAUUAAGCCGUGUGCUCGCUGGUUGAUGGUGAGUUGUGUCGGUGAGUCAUGUCGGGACAUGUUGAACUGCAGUAUUUGUGAGGGCUGUGUGUGCAUGUGUGUUUGGGUGGGCGGGGAGGGGGGAGGUCAGAGGAGGCAUUACUGACUCUUAAGCUCCUUUAACCCGUUAUUGGGGGCUGGCAAGCGUGAAAUAGACACGAUGCUGUGAAGACCUGACACGCUGACAUAUUUAAGGAUAACAUUCAAAGCGACUCGGCCUCCACCGCUCCACGUCGACAUGCACGAGGGGAGCGUUUUGUCGCGUGGUUGUUUCAAAGGGAGAAUACAUAGUGUAUUGAUGGACAUGGCGCUUUCCCCCCCUCAUGGGAGUGACUAAGACAAGUCAAUGCUGAGACACACGGAAGCAGUCAGACAAAUUAGACCACACAAAAUGAUUGAAUGUCUUCAUGUGCGGACUCAUCAAUGGUGUGUUCUCAUGUGGCCCAUGAGAUUAAAAACUGGAUUGAAAAAUCCUGGAAAGCCCAUCCACUGCUUUUUAAUAAGCUCCUCUCUUCGUGAAGUGGCUUUUUUUUCUUCUUUAAAGUGGCUUUUUUUAUCUACUUGCUUACUCUCAUCUGCACACUUUCAGGGCUUUUUCCUAAAAGAGUGGUUUUCAUCGGCAGGGAAAUGAACGGAAACUUUGCACUGUGGGGGGAUCCGAGCAAAAAGUAAUCUGUCUAUAUAAUAACAAUGUUACCCAAUGGAAGUGUUUUUGUGUGACUCAUUUGCAUCUCAAUGCAUGAAUACUCAAAUAAUACGCAAAUAAUACUGAGGCAGAAGAUCAAUGUAACUGAUUUAUUUGAACAUUACAUUAUUUCACAAAAAUGCUACAGAUGUUUAAAGAAAUAAAAAAUAAAGCCUUAUAUUCUGUAUGUUUCCCAUUUUUUCCCCAUCAUAUCACUGCAUUGGGACCAUGUGGUAGCCAAGCCCCCCAGGACCACAACAAAGAAAGGUAAUCUGCAGUUGUCAGCCUGGUCCCGUAUAGCAGCUACAGAAUAUGACAGGUACCCCCCCCCCCCCCACCCCCCACCAUCCCAACUCCUCCAUCGCCAUCCCCUAAGACAGCCGGAGCUGUGAGGGACCGCACUGAUCGGGGCUUAAGCUGUGACGGGCCUCGCCUCCCACCUCUGUCUCUGCAGUAAUUAAAUGAGUGUCAGCGGUGAGCAGCACUCAGAAAAUGGGGCCUGCGCAGCUUCUGUUUCUGCUCCCGGUGUUUUCAGGGGGACGCGUCCCGGCGACGGGGGAAAAUAGAAGUGAAACGGGGGGGGGGGGGAGUGAGAAAAAAACGUGGGAACGUAAACAGUUCGAGGUGGCAGAAAGCGACAAAUCGAGAGGCAAUCCGGAGCGAGAGACAAAGGGCUCGGGGUGAGGCGUCCAUCAAGAUCAGAGAGGAAACGAGCGGAGGAAGUGUGACUGUGGCGGCGCGUCUCCUCGCUCCCUCCCACUCGAUUAUUAACGAGAAUAUCGGAGGGGGGGGGGGGAUGAUGUCAUUUCCCAACUGGCGAGAGCUUUGUGCAUUGUGUGUGUUUCCUUGCUCCCGGGCAAUUUGUUCUUCGAGGACAAGUGUGAGAUGAAGAUUGUGUGUAAUGGUGAGAAGGACCCGGUGACAUUGAAGAAUUAGUGAGACAAGUGCGGAAGGGGGGGGGGGGGUGGUGAUAUUGUGCCAGGGUGACAGCUGGAGGGGCCUUGGGAGUCAGAGGAGACAGAGACAGACUUCAUUACCUCAGAACUCGUCCUGCGUUAUGAGGACGGACUACAAGGUAUAGUUAAGUUACAUUACAUGUCAUUUAGCUGACGCCUUUAUCCAAAGCGACUUACAAUUGGUGCAUUCAACCAUAGGGUACAAACGCAGAAGAACAAGAAAGUGCAAUUUCCUCAAAUAAGCCAAUUUACAAUUUGCUAUAGAUGAGUGAAGUUACAAGUACAAUUUAAGUGCUACAAUUUGUUAGUCUUUAGUCGAGGUAGAGUCUGAAGAGGUGUGUCUUUAGUUUGCGGCGGAAGAUGUGAAGGCUCUCUGCGGUCCUGGUGUCCUCAGAGAGCUCGUUCCACCAUUUCGGCGCAAGGACAGCAAAGAGUCGAGAUCUAGUCGAGUGUUUUGCUCUCAGUGAGGGAGGAACGAGUAGU
ensembl:lncRNA